rnacentral:rRNA from 1 species
CACUGUCACUCCUACGGGAGGCAGCAGUGGGGAAUAUUGCACAAUGGGCGCAAGCCUGAUGCAGCCAUGCCGCGUGUGUGAAGAAGGCCUUCGGGUUGUAAAGCACUUUCAGUCGUGAGGAAGGUGGUGUAGUUAAUAGCUGCAUCAUUUGACGUUAGCGACAGAAGAAGCACCGGCUAACUCCGUGCCAGCAGCCGCGGUAAUACGGAGGGUGCGAGCGUUAAUCGGAAUUACUGGGCGUAAAGCGCAUGCAGGUGGUUUGUUAAGUCAGAUGUGAAAGCCCCGGGGCUCAACCUCGGAAUUGCAUUUGAAACUGGCAGACUAGAGUACUGUAGAGGGGGUAGAAUUUCAGGUGUAGCGGUGAAAUGCGUAGAGAUCUGAAGGAAUACCGGUGGCGAAGGCGGCCCCCUGGACAGAUACUGACACUCAGAUGCGAAAGCGUGGGGAGCAAACAGGAUUAGAUACCCUGGUAG